UUUUUUUUUUUUUUGUUUUUUUUUUUAAUUUUUAUUCCUCUCCUUUUGCAUUUCUGUGAAGAGAAACCUUUCAUUUUUAAGAGUCAUCCUCAGGUUCUCAGUGACAGACAUUUCCUGAGCAAAGAAAUAUAAGGCUACAAAAAUGUGUGAUUUUUGAAAUUUAUGGCCAGAACUUUAUCACAAUGGAAAUAUUUUUUUCUAAUUGAAGUCUAUGCUGCUGUUAUGACACUAAUUCAAUUAUUCCUUAUAUUACAUUCAUCAUAAUUUUAUCUUCUUGUAAAAGAAGAAUCACUUGUUUCCCUGACAUUGGUAGAGUUGACUUAGGAAGAAAGGGGUGAAUCUGCACUCUAAUAAUGUCCUUUUGCAAUUAAUCAGAAGGGCAGUAUUAAAAUACAAUUAUAGAAUCAUUUAAGCUAAAGAAGACUUUUAUAUCAUUGGUUCUAACAAUUAAUAAUAAAAUAAAACUGAAUAAAUCCACGUGGAGUAAAUAUUAAAUAACCAAAGGCUUAUAACAAAAGAUUAUGCAAAAAGCCUUCUAACAGUUUAACAUAAUAUUCCUGAGAAUCUGAAUACCUCUUUGGAGCAGGUUGGGUCAGAAAUACACUGGAGUUUAGAGAAUACUGAAAAACUUUUCACUGCAGUAAACAAGAAAACCUUUCAAACAAGUCACAAAUCAUCAUCAAAGAUUUCUGGGUGAUGCUGAGAACCUGUGAUAGACAGUGCAUGGUAUAAAAAAUGUCUUGUGCUGGAGGAGCAUCAUCUAUUAUAACUCUGCUAUCCCUUAUGGGCCCUACAUAUGUCAGGAUUUUGUAAAAUGACUCAGAUUUUCCAUGCGCUUCCUGCCAAUAAACAGUGUUUCUAUACAGGCAAUGACUUUAACUAUGGUGGGAGUUAGUAUCUGUAAGGACAUGAAAUGACCACUCUGUUGACAGUCUCAGAUAUUUAUCUUCCAUGACUGUGACUCAUGCAUAGCACAGUCUCACCCACAUGUUUGGCCAUGAAAUACCCUUAUUGAGUAAUAAAAUGCUGAAGGUACAGCUAUUUUUCGCAUAAAAUCAUCAAUGACUCUCUUCCUAUGAACCUCCUGGGGAUUAAACAAGCUGAGGAGGUUGGUUUCCUGGCUUGAAAGAUUCAGAGGAGAUGGGGAGAGUGUCUUAUCUAAGGUAUUCAGAUUUUAAACCUAACCUCUAAGCUAGUCAUAUAAGGCAACAUUCUGAUCAAUAAUAAAUAGUGAUCUGUACUUCCACUGAAGAACAUUUAUUCCAUCCUAAAGUUGAUGAUAUCUUAGAAAUACAGGUAACUGUUUUUAUAUAUCUUUCCUGGCCUCUUUAGUAAGAAGAACACUUAGCUUAGUUCCAUAGGAAGAUAGGAAAGGAACCUACAGCAACGCUUUCCCUGAAUCUCUCCCUUUCAUUCUGCUGUUUGUGUUGUAGGGAACAACCUCUUCCAGGCGGGAGAGGUUUUAAUGUGAUUUCACAAUUUGCAUGAAAAGCCUCUAACAGGCAUUGUCCUCAAACCAUGCCAUCAAAGAUACCAGUUCAUGUGCCAGUCAUCAAAUAUCUGCUCUUCUUUCUCACUUGGACUGUGAUAUAUAGCAGCUGAGGAGAGGUAAAUGCAUGCCACACUUCCCCUGGAAGUGGAUUUUUUCCCAACCCUCAGUCAAUGUUUUUUACUGACCUGCAACAGAAGCAAAGCUGUGAUUCAAGGAGAGAGCUUAUUUCGAUUAAUGGAGUAUGAGGAUGGGGAAAGACAUGUUCAUUUGUAACCUGGAAAUUCUGAGGGGUGCGUUUGUCUCAGGAUCAAUACUGUGGGAGCCACAAAUGUCUCUGCCAUGCUGCCCUCCCCUCAAGAAAAACAUGCAUCAUUUUUCUUUCUUUCAGGUCUCCUUUCUUCUCAUCUCAGAAGGUUUUACAAAUCUUACCCCUUCCUAUCAAAGCAAACUACUAAUGGAAUUUGGUCUUGGAGAAAAGGGAGUAGGGAGAGAAGUUGAUUGUUUUAGAGAGGAAAAUUAUUCUCUUCUUUCUCCUAUCACAGCCCUUUAUUUUCCACCUGGAAAAAAAUAUGUUGCACUUGAAGAAAAUAAUAUUAAAUAAUAUUAUUUUUCAAAAAUUCCAAGGAUGAGGAUAGAACUAAUCAGUAACUUUGAAUUCCAUCUUUGACAAUAUCACCAUCCAUUUAUCUGCAGCUUGAAAGAUGUACUGGUAGCAGCUCACCUAAUGAUUUUAGAACUAGUACUGCUGGUGCCCCAAGCCAAUUUACCAUUAAACAGCAGUUACUUGGAGCCUUUCCACUGUAUAGUCUAAUUUCUGGAGGGAGAGGAGAUGGGAAUUGGUUUCUCUGUGUGCAAUGAAAAGUUGAUUCUCACCAGUAAAGAUUAGAAAUCUUAACAGAUCUACAGUUUUCUGAUGUAUAUUUUAGAGGCAUUUGACAUUAUUCAGAGUGCAGGUCCAUAACAUACAGAAAUGGAAAGCUAAGCCUAGACAAGAAAUGUUAGCUGCCACAAGAGGCAGCAAGCAAUACUUAUUUAUUUAUUUACUUAUCUAUUUAGGUGAAGUGAAACCUAGAGUUAGUCCACAAUACUGGCUGUAGUUAGAAAUCAAUCUUUCUGGACAACCAUGUAGCAGAGACAUAAAUGCAACUUAAACUUUUAGAUAGGAUGUCUCUGCUAUAAUUACCAAUUUUGUGGAUGUAUGUUUUACAAAUGUUGGCCUGUUGAUAAAGCCUGAUGUUCUUCCCACACUCUUCCAAAAGGAGCCUUACCAAAACAGUGUAGUUAUAUUUCCAGAAAGUAAAUGUGCUCAUUCAAAAUGCAUUUGCUUCUGAAGACCUCUACAUCCUUCAACUGCAACUGAAAAUUUUUCAGGUGCCUCUUGCCAAAUUUGCUUACAAUAUGGCAGUACAGACCAGCUGGUGUCAUUCCAGGCCACCAUCAGUGCCAGGCAUAACACCAAUGCCAACAGCUCUCCAUCACUGCUUUUGUCUGACCCUCUACAUGUAACUGGACACUGAUUUUUCUUAUCAGCUCUUUAUUAAGUGAAAUUACUUUUUAAGUCAAAAUUUGUCUUCCGAAAGAUCUUUGUUUUCUUUUUGAAGAAAGUAUUAUAAAAUACCACUUGUUUUACAAUAGGCAAUUAUAUUUGCUGCUUAAAAAAAAAAAAAAAAAAAAGAAAAAA
ensembl:lncRNA